AAUGUACAAUUAAUGAUUAUCCACAGGCAUGCAGAAGGUAAGUGGUAAUUGUGUUAUUUUUAUUUCACUGAGGAUGGAAUUAGCAAAAGGCUUUAAAAUGACAGGAAAAUUAGCUAAUACAGAAAACAAGCAUAAAAUUCAAAGCUACAGCCUCAUUUGAUUUGGCUUUUUCAGAAAUUAAAAUGUGAACAGCUGCGUAGCAGAAAUGUUUUAAUAUUUUCAGAGUUGAAAGCCACUUUCCAGCAACCACUGAAGAAAGAGUAUCUCAUUAUUUUUACUUAAAGCACUACAGAAAGUGGUGUUCUGAUUUUAUUAAUAUUUCUUAGGCCAGGCAUGGUGGCUUACGCCUGUAAUCCCAGCACUUUGGGAGGCAUAGGCAGGCGGAUCACUUGAGCCCAGGAGUUCGAGACCAUCCUGGACAACAUGGCAAAACCCCGCCUCUACAAAUAAUAUAAAAAUUAGCCGGGCGUGGUGGCACGCAUCUGUGGUCCCGGCUACUCAGGAGGCUGAGGCAGGAGGAUCACCUGAGCCCUGGGAGGCCAAGGCUGCAGUGAGCCAUGAUCAUGCCACUGUGCUCUAGCCUAGGGAAGUGAGACCCCGCCGCAAAAAAGAAAAACAUAUUUUUUGAUGGUGAUAAUCAAGAGACCAAAAAUAUUGCUUUCUUAAUGCACACGAGGCAGGAAAUCUUUCAUGAAGGGCUACGUUGUACCUGUGCCUCUCAAGUCACCAGAAGGCCAAGCUGCAGGUCAAAACUGUGGGAAAAGCACUUUCUUCCUGUUAGCAGUUCCAUUGUAUUAUUAUUUUUUAAUUGAUCUCCCCACUUGUCUGAUUUUCCCUUGGACGGAACAGGUAAUAACUGAAUAUAGAAUCCAGCUGAUAGCCUCACUGGCUUUUAAUUGGAAACCCAUUAUACUGUGUGGCACGGUUAGAAAGUGAGAAUAACCCCAUUCUGAGGCCGAGUGUGCUCAGGCUGAAGAGCCAGCAGGAGUGCCCGCUGUGCGUACGUGGUGUGCAGUGUGUGCAGUGUGCAGCGGUAUGGCGUGCAAUGUGUGUGAUGUGUGCAGUGUGCAGCAUGGAGCUGGCCCCUGUGCACACCCCUGCAGCCUUAUGGAAGAAGGUAGUGCUGGCUCAGUCAAAUGAGAGGAAGAGUUUUCAUAAGCCCAGCUGGUGUUUAAAACGUGUUUUGGCUUUGUUCAUUUUAUGGUGUUGGUGUUGGUAUUGGUGGUCAUGUACUAGCAUGUAAGAUUUCUUUUCUCUUUCCCUCUUCUCUCUGCUUCUACAUUCUGUUCAUUGAGGCUUCCAACUGAAUAUGAGAGGAACGGGAGAUAUGAGGGCUCAAGUCGCAAUGUAUCUGCUGAGCAAAAAGAUGAAAACAAAGAAGCAAAGCCUCGAUCCCUACGCUUCACCUGGAGCAUGAAAACCACUAGUUCAAUGGAUCCCGGGGACAUGAUGCGGGAAAUCCGCAAAGUGUUGGAUGCCAAUAACUGCGACUAUGAGCAGAGGGAGCGUUUCUUGCUCUUCUGUGUCCACGGAGAUGGGCACGCAGAGAACCUCGUGCAGUGGGAAAUGGAAGUAUGCAAGCUGCCAAGACUGUCUCUGAACGGGGUCCGGUUUAAGCGGAUAUCGGGGACAUCCAUAGCCUUCAAAAAUAUUGCUUCCAAAAUUGCCAAUGAGCUAAAGCUGUAACCCAGUAAUUAUGAUGUAAAUUAAGUAGCAAUUAAAGUGUUUUCCUGAACACUGAUGGAAAUGUAUAGAAUAAUAUUUAGGCAAUAACGUCUGCAUCUUCUAAAUCAUGAUAUUAAAGUCUGAGGACGAGAGCACGCCUGGGAGCGAAAGCUGGCCUUUUUUCUACGAAUGCACUACAUUAAAGAUGUGCAGCCUAUGCGCCCCCUGCCCUACUUCCAUUGCCCUGAGAGUCAGUGUGUGGCCCCAUCUCCAUGUGCCUCCCGUCUGGGUGGGUGUGAGAGUGGACAGUGUGUGUGUGAAGUGGUGUAUAUGGAAGCAUCUCCCUACACUGGCAGCCAGUCAUUACUAGUACCUCUGCGGGAGAUCAUCUGGUGCUAAAACAUUACAAUUGCCAAGGAGGAAAAUACUGAAUUACUGCUAAGAAUUAACCUUAAGACUAGUUCAUAGUUAAUAUAGGUUUACAGUUCAUGCCUGUGGUUUUGUGUUUGUUGUUUUGUGUUUUUUUUUAGUGCAAAAGGUUUAAAUUUAUAGUUGUGAACAUUGCUUGUGUGUGUUUUUCUAAGUAGAUUCACAAGAUAAUUAAAAAUUCACUUUUUCUCAGU
rnacentral:sRNA from 1 species